AAGCUACUGGCACCGAUACCAUCAGCCCUCCAGAAGCUACUGGCACCGAUACCAUCAGACCUCCAGAAGCUACUGGCACCGAUACCACCAAACCUCCAGAAGCUACUGGCACCGAUACCAUCAGAGCCCCAGAAGCUAUUGGCACCGAUACCAUCAGACCUCCAGAAGCUACUGGCACCGAUACCACCAGACCUCCAGAAGCUACUGGCACCGAUACAACAGGCUCAUCAGAAGCCACAAGACCCCAGGGCCAGAAGGCCAAAAAAAGACACAGAAAUCUAGUCCAACAGAGGGGAGCCAGCAAGAUGAAGCAAAAAAAAAAGUAUGAGUGUCCAGAAUGCUGUAGGAGAGCCAGGGAAAACAACUUUGACUACUCCAAGAUUUUGAAAAGAAGAGUGAGAGAGGGAACAGAUGAGGUCCUCAUUCAUUGGGUUCCAUGCAAGACCUGUGGGACCAAAUGGAAAGACUCCUGGGAGCCCGCCUCCCUUCUUGAAGAAUGAAUUUUAAAACUUUUAAAUUAAUUUUAAAAUAAGUUGGUAGUAUGAUGAUUUAUUAAACAGGUUUGAAUUUUUAAAAACAUCCAUGUGAAAACUACAAACAUAAACAGAGUUAUUUGCUUGUUCUUCAUUGCCUAAAAUGUGCUAUAUAGAUAGAGAUCUUUAGAAAUAACCUGAAUAAAAAUCGUGUUAAAUGUUAAUUUUGUAUGCAUCAUUAUUGGACAUGUUAUGUCAAUUAUCUGGUCUUUCAUUCUCUCUUUACAUAUUUAAUGUUGCAUGUGUUGCAUUUAAAACUUGAAUAUGUUACUGCUUAAUAUGAAAUUGAUUCCAUCUGCAAGGAAGAGCAAUUUAGCUGUCCUGCCUGCACCCCAGCAAACAUUACGGUUUAAAGUGUAUUGCAAGGUCAUGCAUUUGUUGUGUGGAUUGGUUGGCAGCCAGAGAUAAUUCCCACAGAUCCAGCAAUAAGGUGGAUGAGGAGGGACUGGAGUUGACAUUCUGCAGGCAUAUUGUGUCGCUGGCUUCCCUUAAUAUGUUUUGGGGCAAAUCAUUUUUGUGUACCUCAUGUUUUUGCAGCUUCAGCUUGCUUCCAUGCAUGGCAUCACCCUUUAUUUGUAUGGACAUUGCCUGCAAAUACUGGCCAUACCUACAAAGACUUUGUUCUGACUGUCCAGAGCUCCAGCCCCUUCAGAACAUGAGGCCCUUCUUGUCAGUUGGACAUGCUAAAAGCCAUGACUUCAAAUAGAGGUUGGUGUUGUGCAGUACAUUAUCUAAUGGCUUGCAAUACUAAAAAUGAUCUUUAACUGUCAUUACACUGAAUAACUGAUAUCUACGUCUGUCAAAGAGGUUAUGUUUUUACCUGUGUUUGUGUAUUUGCAAGCAGGAUUACUUCUAACUUGGUGGAUGGGUGAGACAUGGUCCAGGAAGGAACCAAUUAUAUUUUGUGGCAGUUUGUAAUUUGAUUAGGCUUUUAUAUGAAUUUAAAAGUGAUGUAGUUGGAGACAUUUGCUUUACUGUAUGGAGGCCAUUACAAUGAUGCACCCAACUGAUUUAAUAUUGACAUAUAAUUACAUAUAAAUAGAAAGAGACCUGUUUCAAUUUCCAAGAAACAAAUGUUUUAUACAAACUGAAAAGGAUUGAAAGGAAUAACCUGUAUUAUGAAUAUAAAGUGAUCAGAUGACAUAUCAAAUAUUGGUUCAUACACUAAAAAUAAUUUUGCUUGUCAUUUUAGACUUCUAUACAGAUCUACUUUGGGACCUGAAAACCCUGAAAGCUGUCCUUCAACUGGAAAUGAGAGAAUGGGCAAAUGGUUUGGGUGACUUGACAGAGGAUGCUACAUAUGGGCUCAACAGUCUUCUCAGUCAGAGGUGUCACUCACCCAGAAGUCAACACAAAUGGGAUGUAGUCAAGUCAAGUCACCUUUAUUUAUAUAGCGCUUUUUACAAUGCAGAUUGUAUCAAAGCAGCUUUACAUUGAUAACUGGUACAUAAUUUUGGCUGCACAGCAGCUCUUAAAGAAUAGUGUCAAUGCAGGCAGAUCAGAAGCACUGUUGAAUAAAUGUCAAGAAUACUGUUGAAUGUCAAAUGUCAAGUCUCCAGAAUGUAAAUGCAAACAGCAGUAUAGCCACUUUUGAGGACUUGCAACUUGCCUUUAUAUUAAACAGCCUUUUUUAUGAAGUGAUUUACUGUAUAAGGGGCUUGUCAUUUCAAACCUAACUGUUGGAAAAUGGUGCACUUUGUUUUUUACACUUCAAACCAAAGCUAAUAAGUGUUUUCACCCAUAUCUUAGAGAUAAUCAAGACCAACAUAUCUACAGAAAAGUAUUGACAAUGUAACUCCUGGCCCUUUGUUAGAAUGUUCAGAUUAUGUGAUUUUAUUAGAAACAAAGACAAAAUUCUAACUAUGGUUAAAGUUCUUUCUUGAGCUGUUUUUCAUUGCUUUUCCUAUUUCCAGCAGUUUAACAGAAUUGCCAUUCUAUCUAAGCUUUUAUUCAGAUAUAUUUACCUGCCUUCAUUCUUAAAUUCAAAACUCAAAAAUGAAAGAAGAAAUUUGCAAAAGCUAAAAUUGGACUAUUCUUAUGAACUCGGUUGUCUCCUUUUUUUCUGAAAACAAAAACCGAAAAGCUGCUGUUUCUCCAGACUGACAUCAUCAAAUAGCGAAUUAAUUACGCUAAUUUCGUAAGGCAUUUUGCAUGUUAUGCAUUUACUUUUGACUUGUUCAUUAACCUAGGCUAUGUAUGCAAGAUCCAAAUACUGCUUGUUGUUUCAGCAUACUUGUUGAUAAAGACCAUCAAAUGUAAUUUAAACCAUACUGUAGAUGUUUUUUUUUUCUUUCUGUUCUUUCCAUAUCGCAUCAUCUAAAUGUACAAAUCAAAUCCAAAUCCGCUUUCACUGACAUCAUAUAAAACUGUAUGGAGAAAUCUCUUCCUUUGUCUUAAUGCAUAUAUCUAUGCAUGUCUAAUAAACUUAAACACAAUUUUAA